GCAUCGAGGCCUGAAAUUGAAGUUUUUACGUCGAUCGGAGCCCUCGCCGGAUUCUGCAAAAUUCUGCAAAUUUUCCGACCACCGAAGCUUUCGAUCGGUAUAUCUCGAGCUACAGACCAUAUUUUUCUGUGAUUCUUGAACCAAUGCGUUCGUCUUGAGUUUCUUAACAACUCUCUAGAAGGAAUCGAAGCCUGAAAUUGAAGUUUUGACGUCGAAAUCAAGCCUUGCCGGAUUCUGCAAAUUUCGCCGGAUUCUGGAAAUUUUCCGGCCACCUCGACUGUUCUAGGUUAUCGACGGAUUGAUUUGGUGGACGAUUCGGAUUGAUGUAUUUGGCUUUUUAGAAGACGCAGCUGGAUUAGAGGUUAUCGACGGAUUGAUUUGGUGGACGAUUCGGAUUGAUGUAUUUGGCUUUUUAGAAGACGCAGCUGGAUUAGAGGUGAGUAAACCUCACGUGGUUCAUAUUACGAACCGAAUAAAUUUAAUUACCUUAUUUUGUCGUAAUUGCGUGAAAAUAUUUAUGAAAUAAAUAUUUGUUUUAAAAUCAUAUGGACUUGAUCAACUACGGUCCAUGGGUAAGUAAAAUGAUUUUUACUAUACAAAUGAAUUUCUCAGUUUUAUUGCAUGUGAACUAUAGUUGGUAUUAGUGAUUAUCCCUGAGCGGAUAAUUACGUAUAUAUAUAUUUACGUGAUUAUAUGUGAAUGGUGUGACAUUGAAGAGUGUGGAAUUGGGAUGAUUAAAUUAUUAUGAAUUGACAUGUGACUUACCAUAUUUUUAUGUGAUGAACAUGAUUGAUGAGUUCUUGUUAAUAUUCAAGAUUUACAUUGGAGGAUGUAUAGAGUUGGAGAAAGUAGGAUUCUGAGGACGAGGUGUCCGAAGUUCGACGGUUAAGGAUAACCGGAGUGUUUGUGUACUGAGGACGGGGAUGUCCAAGGUGCGACGGUUUAUUAUUAACCGAAGUUGUGUACUGAGGACGGGGAUGUCCAAGGUGCGACGGUUUAUUAUUAACCGAAGUUGUGUGCUGAGGACGGGGAUGUCCAAAGCGCGACGGUUUAUUAUUAACCGAAGUAUAUGGUGCUGAGGACGGGGAUGUCCAAAGCGCGACGGUUAUAGUGUUAACCGAAGUAUUUUUGCCGUUGCUUGACCCUAGGCCAAGGUGUCAGAGGUAACGAGGCAGUUAGAGCUCUAACGUGUUAUGGGA